rnacentral:snRNA from 14 species
AUACUUACUUGGACGGGGUCAAUGGGUGAUCAAAAAGACCCAUGGCCUAGGUUGGCGACCUCCAUUGCACUU